UACAGAGGUCUCAAGCGUUUGUUCGGAUUCAUUGGGCGUAAAGGGUGCGUAGGUGGCGCGGUAAGUCGGGUGUGAAAUUUCGGAGCUUAACUCCGAAACUGCAUUCGAUACUGCCGUGCUUGAGGACUGGAGAGGAGACUGGAAUUUACGGUGUAGCAGUGAAAUGCGUAGAUAUCGUAAGGAAGACCAGUGGCGAAGGCGGGUCUCUGGACAAGUUC
rnacentral:rRNA from 1 species